GAUUUCUGGCUUGAAACAUUUUGCCGGCCACGGUUUCGUGUGUUAGUGCUUGAUGUUCUGGCCAUCCUUCCAAUUGCUAUACAUCUUUCUUCAUUGAAGGGUGUGUGGUAUUGGAUCUUUUACUUUGAAAAAAUUAGAGUGUUUCAAGCAGGCUUUAUGCUAUGAAUACAUUAGCAUGGAAUAAUAAUUUAGGACUUCGGUUCUAUUUUGUUGGUUUCUAGAAUGGAAGUAAUGAUUGAUAGGGAUAGUUGGGGGUGCUAGUAUUCAGUGGCCAGAGGUGAAAUUCUCGGAUUCACUGAAGACUAACUUAUGCGAAAGCAUU
rnacentral:rRNA from 1 species